CUGAUUCGAAGAACAUAAUUUUAGAAAGACAGGUAUCCAUAAACCGAGAAAGUAAUUGACGAUUUUGAGAGAAAGAAGCGGCCAACGGCCCGUGGCACAACUCGUCGGUCCGCUGCGGCUCAAUCACAAUCACCGGACGGCCGCAUUUCCCUGUCCUCCCUUCUCUCCGCUCCUGCCCUCAUCCUUACCGCCCUCCUGCUCCUCUUCUUCCACUCCGCCCUCCUCGCCGGCAGCCUCCGCCUCUCCUCCCUCCCCGACGGCGAUCCUAACGUCCGCUCCCUCCUCCACCGCCUCUCCUCCUUGCCCACCUCCUCCUCCUCCUUCUCCUCGUCGCCCCCUUCCCCUCCUCCUCCCCCCGCUGCCCGCCGUCGCACCCCCUUCAUCCACCUCACCCGCCUCGGCACCUUCGACGACAACGGUCACUUCACCUCCUCUUCCUCCUCCGACGCUCCAGAGUUCCUUCAACCGAGUCAAGAUUAGGAUUCCUGACUAUUCCCCAUCCUCCCCCUUCCUCUUCUCCUUCCCCGACGCCGCCGAUGCUGUUGGCGUCGACGACAACGGAGAUCGGGCCCCUGAUAUCCGGAUUCUUGGCCGGGCUUCGGCUUCGAUCCUCAUGAUGUCACGACUAUCCUUUACCUUCUUACCCUCCUCUCCUCCACCCACGCCCUUGCCAUCAUGGGCUUCAUUCUCGCCUACACGUCCGCCGUCGGCGCCGUCUUCUUCUCGACUGUGGCCUUCCACCUUCGGAAGCCGGUCUCCGUCACGGAGACCAUCUAUUCCGGCGCUCGGUUGGGGAUGUGACGGCUCACGCAGUUCGUGUUCUGGAGGUGGGCCGCGAGGGACGCCAUCGUCCAGUUCUUGUGGGUCUGGUUCUUUGCCGAUGUCCGAGACCAGAAUGUGCUCUUCAUGCUCUUCGUCAAGGUCAAGCUUAUGCCUUUCUUCCUCUCGCCCUUGAACCCAUGGCCUGGGCCGCACGAUGAGGCUCUCCUGGGGUUCUUUUUUGCGAGGGCUUUGGUGGAUGCGGUGGUGUCGCUUGUGUUUGCUGUCAUCCCGUGGGUGGAGAUCAUGGACCAUGAUUUAUGCCGACGAGGGCAGGAUGUAGUGAAAGAGGGGUUAUAUAUGAUAUCACUCAUGCCAACACAGGCCAUCUCAAUCAAAUUCUUGGAACUGGUUUGUGGUUAUCUGGGCAGAUGGAUGGCGACGAUGGUUGGCUGGAAGCUAUUUGUGGCAACUUUUCUUUAAAAGGUACAGGUUUACAUCAGUGCGGUUUGGUUGGUCUUCGAUUUUGCAGUAAGGUGAAAAGAUGGAGAAUUAAUUGGCCAGCAGUUUACGGCAAGAGAUUUGGAGGAUUAUCUCAAUGGCCUCAGAUGACCUGGAACUGUGGAACUGGUUGCAUGGUUUGUUUUUUCCAGCUCCCUACAUUGCUUUGACAUGACUGCGAGGUACUACUGUUGCCUCCUCCAACAAUUUGUUGUUAUAGAACUGCCCUUUUUGUGAUUCCUUGUCUUUUUAUGCCGUGUUGUUGCGCCUGAGUUUGUCAUUGAGGGUGAUCUGACUUCAAAUGUACAGUUCUUGGGGAAGGUUUACUUGUACACCAUCUUGUGCAUUUAAGGUGUUGUUGGUUAUGACAUCUAUAGCUGUUAAUUUUUGGUCUAUUGAUCUGAGUCAGACAGUUGAAGAUCUAAAACUGUAGCAUUUUGUUGCCAUGCAGCUUUAUGUGUUCAGCUAGGGCUCGUCUAAUAUGUAAUUCUGUACUUCUGUUGACUUGAAGAUACUGCUGAUUUAUGUAUUUUUGGUGUAUUUCCAUUCCAUUGUUGGCUUUGGCAGCAACUGAGCGAUGGGAAGUAUUGGAUUUUUUUUUUCCUUUUUUAGUAGAGUGUUGUUGUUUCAAAAUUUCAAGUUCUAUAGCAACCUGCUGUUGGGUGGAAAAGUCCAGGGUAGCAGAAAUCAUUGGUGUCAAUUUCAUAUUUGUCUGCAACAUCCAUGAAAUACUUCAGUGUAAGGAAUGUUGAAUCAGGGAGCCAUCGCAUCAUGUUUGUUUGUUUUGGCUCUGUCUGUCUUUAGAAAAACUAGAAGGUACUCGGAUUUUGACAAUUUUCAACUUGUGUUAAAUUGGUUUCUAAUUUCUACUGAGAUACACUUGGGAUAUCUGUUCUUAAAUAAAGUCAGGUUAUGAUUUUGUGGUCCGAAUUAGUUUUAAUUGGCCAGACUAAUCAAUUUGCUGUUAGGUCUAUGGGUUUGGCUGAGCCAGGCUGAUCUGAACACUUAUUUUCUUUGUUUGAAUCAUACAUAGUAUCACACAACAGCUGAGGUGGGAGGAGAUGUCUUGAGUCCAUGAUUCUUCUUUUUUCCUUCCGCCAGCCACAUCCUUGUGAUGUUGGGGUAAUUUGUUGUGAGCAUCCCAUGCUGAUGCCCUUGUCCCACAAUCUCAUGGUCCCUUUAGUUUGUAAUAUAAACUUCUAUCUAAAUCUUGUUUAUCCAUGGCAGACUAAAGUAUAACUGUCAAACAACAAGAUAAUAUAAUCUUGAGGCUCACACUAUUGUUGCCAUAUUCAGAAUGUAGACAUUAAUGUAGUUCCAAAAAUUAAUUAUGUGAGUGAUUGUGGACUAAUAUCUGUAGUGUUUGAAAUAAGUGAUGACUUUGGUUGGCAGGUUUUAGGAAAUAAGGAUGAGGUGAAGUGCGGUUAUGCGUUCUGUUUUUUCACAGAAGUACCUUAUGCUUUGGGGUAUCUUUGAAGAGACUCCUCAUAUUGACUCUUAUGGUUCUUCUCCUUUCCCCUCUUAUGCCACCCUCUUAACUCACCUCUGGGAGUAGCGGUGACUAAGUUAGUUGGAGGUGGAGCAAGACUGUUGCAUGCCGCCAACUGGUUGUCACUUUUAGCAUGCACCAACUGGCCCAUCAUUAACAUUCCCAUUGAGGUCACUAACACACCAUACAUCCGUGUCUUAGCCAAUAGAUUUUGCAUCCUGCCAUAUUAUGGUCUAAGUUUUGGCCCACAAAUUGAUCCAGUUUAUGAACUCUUUUAGCAUGCACCAACUGGUGGCCCAUCAGUAACAUUCCCAUUGAGGUCACUAACACACCAUACAUCCGUGUCUUAGUCAAUAGAUUUUGUGUCCUGCCAUAUUAUGGUCUAAGUUUUGGCCCACAAAUUGAUCCAUGUUUAUGAACUCUUUAAUUUCAAACCUAUCUCACUUGAGUUGUUCAAGAUCUAACUAAAAGACCGAUAUUUAUGAACUCUAACUAUGAAACAUACCUUAUUUGAAUUGUUCAAAAUAUAAGGAAAUUAGCUGAAUAAUUGGAAUUAAUAAAUAGUUAAUAAUGGACUAAUAUAGUUCCUAGUACACACCAUAUUGACCUCUCUAGCAUAGAGUGAGAAAAGCACUAGAUCUUUUUACAAUAGAGAAUAUUACUUGUUUCUAAACUCAGUUUAAUGUCUUAAUCUACACUUGAUCUAAAAUAAACAGAAUAUGAAUCUCCAGUUUUGAUUGGAUUAAUCAGAAUAUAGUGCAUGAAUAGAUAUUGCAUUAUGUUAUAAAGAUGUGCAAUGUUUGCAUAUUUUUUUUCUAUAUGUGAAUCUAUGUGAAUCUCUUAUCUUGUUCAGGUUGCAAUAUGCAAAUAUGCAUAAUUUCCUGAUUGUUACUAUACAUUACUUCCCUGAUGGUAUAGAUUUUACAAGAUUGGAACUACUAGUAAAAAAUCUUAGUAUUGAUUGAAUAUCAAUGAUAGUAGCAAAUAUACAAUGUGAUCGACCAAUAACUGCUGAAACAGUAUCCAGUUUGAAUGACACACCUGAAUGGAUCAAUUCAAUGUUAGAUAUAACUUUUCUAGGUCAUAGGUGUGGCCUUUCAGAUAUUUCUGUUUAGAUCUUAAAAUCCUGCAACCAAUUCUUACAAAUAGCAGCAAUUGAGAAGAGGAAAGGUAAUUGAGACAAAUUAAUUGUUAGCAGCAAAACCAAACCUUUGGUUUUUCUCUGAAGUGAAAUUGUACGGAUGGCAUUGGUUUUGCUCUGAAGUGACAUUGAACAGAUGGCAAUGAAAAUGUUCUCAUUGAAUGAUUUGUAGAGCUUUGAAUUGGGUUGAAAUUUAUACUCUUCAUGAGCUUGAUUAAGCAACACUGGAAAUAAGGGAUGCUCAAGGAAGAUGACCCUGAUGGUGAACUGGCACUUCUCCCCCGUAUACACUACGAUGUGGCCUUAGGGUUGGAAUGUUCUCAUCUUCAGUGCUAGUGAAAAUUAGUCAAUUGAGACACAGCAUUUCACAUCGAAGGAGUCUCCGCAUAUUUUUAUAUUCAUUGUGAGAAAUGGCUAGUUCAAAACAAUUAUCUUAUAUAUUGAUAGUGCCCUGUGCCCUGGAGCACUCCGUGAGUAUGAAUGACAACUUAGUAUGGAAUAAUAACUAGCGAUGACUGUGAAGCCUGUUCUUAAGUUUUAAUGGUUGUAUGGGAAAAAAAUAAUACUCUAUGAGAGCCAAAUGAUCUGUGUGUGUUUCUGUUAGUCGAGGUAAGCUCUUGAAGCAUUAACUCGAUGUUGCUACUAGAUGCAGAAAAGUGUAUCAAAUGUUCUAGAGCUUAGGACCGUAACUGCUAUUUGUCUUCAUUGAUAAGACUCCAAAGUUAGAUCAGGACAUAGUGCUCCUCAAAAUGAUCCAAGUGUAGAUACCACACUUUGGCAAGGCUAAGGUAUCAAAGGAGAAAGUGAUAGGGAUCUAUUCAUUGGUUUGGGUGUAUCAUUCAAUUGGAAAGAGGUGGGGACUUCACUCACCAUUUGUCUUCUGUGCUUCUUAUGAGAACUAAACCUCAUUUGUCAAAUAUGUACUUCGGUCAAUCAGUGGAAAGUGAAUUGCAUUUUUGUUUUCAUCUGCUGAACUGUAUUUUGCAUGCACUUGUGUUGGGAAUUGGCCAUUGUACCACCAUAAUAUUUCCUAUUUGCCACAUUUGCCUUUGCCUUGCUUGUGUUUGAAGUCUAUCUCAUUCAGGUUGUUGGAUAUCAAAGGUUUGAUGAAACAUUUUACUGCAGAAUAUUAAUUGAGAUCCAUGGCUAUUCAAAGAAAGUCUCGAAAUUUCUGUUGAUGUUGCAGUUUGCCUCGUGGGAAACUCCAUUUGAGCAUGCAAAAUGCUCGCAUGAGUAGAAAUAUGUAAAUAGUUGGCUCAUCGACAGAUGGUCUUAUUAUCUUCUUUUAUUCAUCAUUCUCUUUUUUUUUGUCAAUGUGGGACUGUAACUGUGGGUGGCAGUUGAAUUACUUGGGGAGGUAAAGAUACAUUUCGAGCAUUUCAUAUUGUAUAACUAGGAUUGAUGAUCUAGGUCAUUGGUUCUCAAAAACUGGUCAUAUGACACUAAUAAAAUCCUGAUGUUGUAUAGGUACAGAACAUCGACGAGGAAUUGUCUCUAGAACGGUUUGAUAAUCCUUGUAUAAAAAGUAUUUGUUACUUUUGACGCUUAGCAUUCUGUGUAUCAUACAUAGCAUUACAAUGAGAGUAAGUAUCAAUCAAUUAUGGAUUACUGUUUGUACACAGGUCAUCAGGCUUCCGAUUGAACAUGAUAAUCUUGCAGGAGCAGGAUGGGUUGCUCAUCUAUACAUGAGACUUGAGAUCUUGCAGGUUCUGCAAGUCUCCUUUUACUCCAGAUCUGCUCAACUACUCUCUUGUUUUUUUGACUCAGCACAUGGUAAGCCUCAUCUCAGAUUGAAAAAGGAUGAGUAACAAAUUGGAGCAUGAGCUGCUUCCUUUGACUUUUGAGUGAAUGCUGCGGAAGAUUUAAGGUCUGUUUUCAAGUUAUACCCCCAAUCCCAGGAGAAGUAUACCAGCAAAUGUACAAGUAGAAGACCACCCAAGAAAAAUUCCUUUCGUUAUGAGCAUCCAUCUUCCUCUUGUGAUGGGCUGGAUUCCCUGCAAAGUGCAUCGAUCUUCCUCCAGUAACUUGGAUGUUCAACCUAUGUUAGUGAGCUUUAAUUCUACUCCUAUGUGGCUAUAAUUGUCUGGUCUUUAAUUUGAGUGCUAAAAUCAAGAGAGCAUAAUCAUUCUGUCCAUACCAUAAAUCAAGAGUGCUAAAAUCAAGAGAGCAUAAUUUAGUAAUGAUGGCUACUCCUAUUGGAGGGACUGUUGGAUUUCUCAUUGAUUGGAAUACCAACAAUCCAGAAGUCAAGUCUUUUUCAUCCCAUAAACAUUUUGUCCAUACCAUAGUUUAGUUUAGAGAUUUAUGUUUAUGAAUUUGAAGUAUGAUAUACAUGAGUAUGUACAUAUGUGGAAAUCUUCUUUGGAAUAGUCUAUUAUUUUAUAGCUUCAUAA